ACAAAAUCCGUCUUUGAAGA
rnacentral:miRNA from 1 species